rnacentral:rRNA from 1 species
UAGGGAAUCUUCGGCAAUGGACGGAAGUCUGACCGAGCAACGCCGCGUGGGUGAAGAAGGUUUUCGGAUCGUAAAGCUCUGUUGUUAGAGAAGAACGUUGGUAGGAGUGGAAAAUCUACCAAGUGACGGUAACUAACCAGAAAGGGACGGCUAACUACGUGCCAGCAGCCGCGGUAAUACGUAGGUCCCGAGCGUUGUCCGGAUUUAUUGGGCGUAAAGCGAGCGCAGGCGGUUCUUUAAGUCUGAAGUUAAAGGCAGUGGCUUAACCAUUGUACGCUUUGGAAACUGGAGGACUUGAGUGCAGAAGGAGAGAGUGGAAUUCCAUGUGUAGCAGUGAAAUGCGUAGAUAUAUGGAGGAACACCGGUGGCGAAAGCGGCUCUCUAGUCUGUAACUGACGCUGAGGCUCGAAAGCGUGGGGAGCAAACAGG